GCACAAGCGGUGGAUGAUGUGGAUUAAUUCGAUGCAACGCGAAAACCUUACCUACCUUGACAUGUCCGGAAUCCGAAGAAAUUUGGGAGUGCUCGCAAGAGAACCGGAACACAGGUGCUGCAUGGCUGUCGUCAGCUCGUGUCGUGAGAUGUUGGGUUAAGUCCCGCAACGAGCGCAACCCUUGUCAUUAGUUGCCAUCAUUUGGUUGGGCACUCUAAUGAGACUGCCGGUGACAAACCGGAGGAAGGUGGGGAUGACGUCAAGUCCUCAUGGCCCUUAUGGGUAGGGCUUCACACGUCAUACAAUGGUCGGUACAGAGGGUUGCCAAGCCGCGAGGCGGAGCCAAUCCCACAAAGCCGAUCGUAGUCCGGAUUGUUCUCUGCAACUCGAGAGCAUGAAGUCGGAAUCGCUAGUAAUCGCAGGUCAGCAUACUGCGGUGAAUACGUUCCCGGGUCUU
rnacentral:rRNA from 1 species